rnacentral:lncRNA from 1 species
GGGGGGGGGGGUUCUUUGUGAUGGGUAAGUACAUAAAAAUGUAGUCUAUAGGGUAAAAUCCAAAGCGAAGUUCCACACCUUCAGGAUGACUAUUCUAACAGUAUAAAAGUUCAUUUAUUGAGAUGCAUAAACUUUGGGUCUGAACAAGUGCUUGUUUGAAUGGCUGUGUUAAUGUAGCUAAAUGACGUCUUUUAUUUGCAAGUUCUUUACAAUAAAGUGAUUUAUAAAAGAGAGAGAGAGAUGAAAUAGUCUUAAGUCUUUAAAUAAGAAAAAUAGAGCCAAAUAUGUAUGUAUGAUUGAUUAUUUGUAAGAAAAGAUGUAUGUUGACUUUUUUCUUCCUUAUUAAUAAAUAAAUUUGUCAAAGACACUUUCAGAAAUAAGUUGAUUAUAUUAAAUAUCAACAUGGCCACAGAGCUGCUAAGGCAACUAGCCAGAAUUACAGACCUUUAAAUCAUGUUAUUUUUCACAGGAUAGAACAACAUCAAACUCAAGCAUUUGACAAUAUUCCUUGAUUUGACUUUAGGAAGGGCUAUCUUACAGAAAAUGAGCCUCUCUGCUCUUUCUGUAGCUAUAGGGAAUGGGAAUAUUCACUGUUCUUAUCUUGCUCUUUUUCCUUUUUUUAUCAGUUUGAGUGCAUAAGGAUGGAGUCCUGUUAGUCAGCAUCAGGAGGACAGACAAGGUGCUAUCUUAAGUCUGAGUGGCAGAGGGAUGGUGUUGACAGGAGUGGAAGCGCUUGCAGUGCCUGCCUUUGUGCAGAAGAACUCAGUAAGCAAAAUUUAUCACAGGCUGAGAUGUUUCAGAGAAGGCAGACUUUAGUGAAAUAUAUUUUGAAUCAUCUGUAUUUAGAUUUUGGGGCAAGUUUUGAUCUUCAGAGACCUAAUUUACAGCUGUAUGGAGUUGUGACUUUGGAACGAUUCUGUCUGUACUCCCAGCCCUUAACCCCCACACCUCAAAUAAUUCUUCAAGAACUUACAAGUUCAGUCUUUCAUAUAUUUUCUAAAAAUGUGAAAGUGUUAGAAGUUGUUUUCAGUGCCGUGGGACAUAUGUGUAAGUGUGUUUCUUAAAUUACCAAGUUGGUGUUUCUCAUCUGUUUAUAAGUGUUAAAGGAAGAUUAAGUAGUUACAUAACUUUGGAAAAUAAGUAAACACUUAUUUUCUACAAAACUUAUCAGGGCAUUUAACAUUCUCUCACUGUAACUUUUAAAUAUGCUUGUCCUUAUAGGACACUCACUCCUGGGGGAAGCUGGCCACUGGACAUUAGUAAAAAUUAAACACACCAGGCAGUGGUGGCGCACGCCUUUAAUCCCAGCACUCGGGAGGCAGAGGCAGGAGGAUUUCUGAGUUCGAGGCCAGCCUGGUCUACAGAAUGAGUUCCAGGACAGCCAGGGCUACACAGAGAAACCCUGUCUCGAAAAACCAAAACCAAACAAACAAAAAAUUAAACACAUCAAAAACUAGAAAGGCCUCUUCUCACCCGUUAUGAUCACUGCAUAUAGCCAAUGUGAUGCUAUGUACAUACUCAUAACCUUACAUAGGUUAGUAAAAACCUAAUAACCCUUGGAUUAAUUCUCAGAUCUAAUAAGCUUCUGCUUGCUGAAAUUAACUAUUAUGGAAAACCAUGCAUUUUAUACUUAAUAAAGUUUUUAUUUAUAAUUAUAUGUGUAUAGUAUUUUGCCUGCACUAUGCCUGCACUUUCUGUUCCUAAUACCCAAGGAAGCCAGAAGACAGUUAAGUUAAUGUAAAUGACAGAUGGCCCAGUGGUUAAGAACACUGGCAGCUCUUCUAGAGGUCUUGGGCUCAGUUUCCAGGACACACAUAGUGACUUACAGCCAUCUCUUAACUCCGAUUCCAGGGACAUGAAUUGUACUACUUUUUGGAUGACCCUUAAUGGAAAGUAUGAAAAUGUUGUCAAAAUAUCCCUUUUUUUUUUUUUUUUUUUUGCUAAAUUUUAUGAGGCAUCCCCAUGUAAAAGAAGUUCAAACAAAGUCUGAUGGAUUUAACGUUGUCCUAAUAGAAAUUAUAAUGUCCCUGCUUGAAGGCAUUUUAAGAUAGAAGAUAUUCACAGCAAGUGAAUCAGCCUUAUAAGCAACCAGAUGUUUUCUUACUAUAUGAAAGGGCUUGACAUGGUAGUAGGGUAAAGAGAAGCCAGAAACUCUAUUAGACCUGGUCUGAUACUUGCCCCCUUUCCCUAUGGGUGACAGUCUUGCCAUUUCCUGUUGCUGUCCAAAGGAUAGCUGCACACACGUGUGGUCCCGAGACCUUUUCUGCAGUCUGCUAUGCGCGUUUCACACACACGAGUACGUGAAAAGAAUGGCAUUGUCACAGAUCGUUUCUGAUAGAUGCAGGUUUGACACUUUAAGCAUAUGCCUGCCUUUUUUAAAUUAUUACUUAUGCGCAACUGCUGAAAAUUGGUGUCAUGCCAUAGGUUGAAAGUAGGAGGUGAUUCGUCACACAGAAUGUCUAGAAGCCAGCAGUGGAACGGGCCACUGGAAAUGGGGUUCUGUUUCUGGAGUAAGGAGAAAGGGGGGGGGAGAUAGGAAAAAAUGCAGUUCAGAAGACUUGACUGAACACCAAGAUUCAUGCCACAGGUCCGUUCUAAUAAUACUCGCAGGCGCCCUUCCACAGCUGGCGUGCUCGGCCUCCACCUUCCCCCACUCCUCUCUCUCACAGUGCUCACGCGCACACGCGCACACACACACACCUAAUCCUUUAAGUUGCUUUGAAACUAAGAUCAAGAGAGGUUAAUAUGGUUGUCUUGACAACAGCAGGUCAGACCUGGAAAGCGAGUUGGCCCUGUGCCAGGGUCUUGUGUUCUCUUGUCUCAUGUCACAGCAGAGACACACUAAUGUAUGGCACAUGAACUACAUGGAUACACUUCUCUAAUAGAAAGUUGAACAUAAAUAUUUCAAGGUCUCCUCCGGCCCCUCCCAUCAGUGGUCGAAUGCACCGAUUCGUUGUUGUAUGUUCCCUUGGCCACUGUUUCUUUGCUUGUGUAAUUUUUUAGUGUGUGUGCACAUGCCCAUACCAUCAUUGUGUGAGUACAUGUAGGUGCAUGCUAUGUGGAUAAUUUUUUUGACUAGUUUUUUUUUCAUAUACCUGGUUUGUGUAAACACGAGUAGACUACUUUUUACAGACGUGCACCUUACACUUGGCAAGUGGGACAGGCCCGCUGCUCACCCUCCCCUCUCUGCUUCAUUUGAUUCUCUUCCAUUCCUGUAUUCACUGACCACUGCAGGCUACCUUCAAGACGUUUCUAUUCCAAAAUUAAAAGUGUACAAAAAUAAUACCAAGCUAUUUAAAAUGUGUGAAGGAGUCGCUCUGUGAUAGAAUGCAUUGGCUGAAAGAGCUGAACUGCAUGGGGAAGGAUUUUCAGGGCAUUUUACAAACCUCUUCAGUGUCGUUUGUUAACUUGCAUCUUUGUUCAUGUUAGAGGUGUUUGGGUUUCCUCCGGUUGACCUUAACUGGACUAGGAAGACACUAAGGUCUCAGGUAUCUCUAAACUUAAAUCAGGUUAAGGCUUCACUUGAAGUUAGAUGUCAGACGGUUAUCUGUUUUCCCUGUGGACUGAAAGCCAGGUCUGAGGGUAUCAUGUGCACGCAGAAAUAAACCAGAGCUCUCAGUCAUCCGUGACUGUUUACGCGUAGGAAAGAACAUGUAUUCGUUUUGCAGUUGGCAUGGAUACAACCAGUAAUGAGAAAUGUCAAGAGUUCAAGUAUUUAUGAUUAGUUGGCUCUAAGCACCUCUAGAUUCAGUCUUGGAUCAUGUGGCUUUUCCAUUAAAAAAAAAAAAAAAAAAAAAAAAACAUAGGUUCUGACUAGCCAUGUGUGUACACAGUUCUAGCCCCCCGCCAGGCAGUUAUGGAUGCUAGUGUACACAGUAAUGCCUCCCCGUGCCUAGCAGGCACAUGUGGUAGUUACGUCAGUCAGUCACACACUUCUCAUUUGCUCUGGCAGACAAUGAGCACUUUUAAUUUUUUUUUUCAAUAUGAUCAAACCCUGGUGCUGAAAUGCUUUCUUUGAUAAUUAUUGCAUUUUACAAUUUUAUCAAUAGUUAAUAUCUAAGUACACAAGAAUUGUCUAAGGAUAAAAACUCUUAAUCCUGUUUACUCUAAUAAAUACUUUGAAAUGCUGAAUGAGCGGUUUUAUAUUCUACCCUUAUUUCUCCAAAAGUGGGAUAAGAUUUUUUUUCAUACGUAAUGUUAAGCUGUUUGAAAACCCUAGGUAUAGCGUGCUGUAUUGUUUGAAGUGGUAACUAUUCAACAUAUAUCCUAGAAUUAAAUGAUUUAGAUUGAAAGAAGUAGUUUAGAAUUUAAAAAAAAAUAUAUUUUUUCUAUAGAUAAUAUGACUAUAAGAGCAGUCCUUUCAAAGCUAAAUAUAGGUCAUCAUGUUUCUUUGAGAAAAAAACUACACAUAGAUAAUUUGUUAUUCCGGUAUUUUAAGUCCACAGUGGCAAACAAUGACCUCAUUGUUUGGAUCUGAGCCUACCAAAACAUUAAACAUUAGAGCCAGGGUGAUUUCUCAGUGGGUAAGGUGUUUGCACUGUGAGGUGGGUGUGGCAGUCCCUGUGAUUGCAGCCUGGAGAGGUGGAGAGCAAGCCAGUACCUAGACUAGCCAGAUGGGGUGAGCGCUGGGUUCAUUGACAGACACUCCCCCGCCUCAGUAAAUAAGGAGGAAAGUGACAAACCUCUAGUCUCUAUACAUGUGCCUUUGCAUCUGCACAUGCGCACAUUCCACACAUGCGCAUGUUCCAACCUAGGGAGAUUUGAGUAAGGAUGGUCCCCGCAAGCUCAGAUGUUGACGACUUGGCCCACAGUUAUGAAACUGUGUGGGAGGGAUUAGGAAGUAUAGCCUCUUUGGAGAGGGCUUGUCACUGGGGACAGGGCUUGAGAUUUCAGAAGACUGCUGCCUUCUCUGCCCCGGUUUUUGGAUUAAGAUGUGAACUCUCAGCUGAUGCUCUCCCCCAUGCUGCCCGCCAGUUGACACUCUCCCUGCCACAGUGGUGACGGACUCCCAUCACUCUGGAACCCUCCUUCUGUAAACUGCCUUGGUCAUGUGCGUUAUCACCAAAUAAAGAAGUAACUGCCACAGAGCCUUACUGGAAGUAUGUGGCAGGAAACAUUACUUCUCAGAAGGGGAAAAAAAAUCAUGGAUAAUAUUAAGAGGAGGAUGUCUUAAAUGAAAUGAAAAUGGGUGAACAUGGAGACCAUUAUAAAUUAAUGAAGAAACUGAAAUAGAAAAGGGACAGAAAGAGAACAAGUCCACACGUAGUAGCCAUUCUGGGGCUAAGUGUCAGAGAGCUGGCCUAAGGUGGGUGGUCAUAGGUUCUAUCCCUAGCUCUGCACCAGGCGUGGGGAGGAGGGGGGUGGCUUGAGAGGUCAAGACAGCAAAGAAAAUCAGAUGGGUCCUAGCUGCUUCACAGGUUUGUUGGAGGGUUUUUUUGUUUUUUGUUUUAUUUAUUUAUUUAAUUUGUGCUGCUCCAGUCACUAAAUGAAGAAGCAGCAGCACUUAGAAGCAAUUUAUAUGGAAAGCUGAGUUUAUAGCUCAGAGAAGAACAUGUCUUGGUUUUGCUUUUUGUUUUGUUUGUUUCUGUUUUGUUUGCUUGAGGGCAGGGUGUCACUGGGUAAUCUAGUGUGGCUUGGAGCUCACUGUGUGGCCAGAGUGACCUCAGACCCAUGACACACCAUUCUGGACUCAGCAUCCCAGUGACUGGGUGACGAGUGUGAGCCAUCACACCCAGUACAGGACAAACCUUUAAAGUACUCAGUAGUUAGACCGGAUGUGACACCCCCUUCUGGCCUUCUGCAGGCACCAGGCACGAAUGUGGAGAGCAUGGAUCCGUACAGGCACUCCCAUAUGCACAAAAAAUAAAAAUAGCUUUAAUUGUUCAAGGCCUCCAAGGAGCACCGAUAGCUAAAAGCCCAGCACCUCCAUGUGACCACUCUGAAUGUCCUUUCGGUUUUGCUGUGUGCCACAGGCUGUCUGGACAUCUGUCUAAAAUGUGUAACCGGUAUCUCAUCCAGUGCCCUUUGGAAUGGAAGCUGCUUGACGUUAAAAGGACGGGGGGAAGAAGGAAAGGAAGAAAAUAAGGAAGGAAAGAAAGAAGUGUGUCUCUCAUAGCUACUAUAGAGUAACGAAAUCCUUAGAGGCUAAGGCUAGUGCAGACUACAUAGUGACUAGGUUGAGGCCAGCCUGGGCUAUCUCAGACCCACAGAGCGUAGCGUUUAGGGAUCUUUUGACAGGGCCUCGGAGACCAUGCUGCCCACUGCUGUUCUCCUGCCUGUCGGUGUUCUGAGAAGACUUUUACAGCUUUCGCCUUACUUGGCCUUGGGAAUGGCAGCUGAGAUUUAAUGCAUUUCCCUUGUUUCUCAGUGUAACCGUGCAGGUCAGGUCCAGUCUCCUGCUGAAUGUAAUAGUUCUUCCUGGGACAGACAUCUGUGGCCCCUCUAGGCGUGAGAACACACUCCUGGCGUAUGCCUCUGUGUGUUACCUAGGAGCUAUUUCCUAACCAGCCACUGUGUGUGAAGCUAAGGAUGCCAGCGAUUAAACGGGUCAUUUCCUGCUUCACAGGGUUUGCAGCCUGGUAAAAUUUUACUUGGUGCAAAUGAAGUCUCUAAACAUUCCCGUGUCCCGUUUUCUCAAAACUCUUUGGAAAGAAAAGUCAGACUAAUUGGAAGAAAGAACAAAGAGAGGUAAGCCGCCACUAAAAUUAAAAAC